rnacentral:rRNA from 1 species
UACGUAGGGUGCGAGCGUUGUCCGGAAUUAUUGGGCGUAAAGAGCUUGUAGGCGGUUUGUAGCGUCUGCUGUGAAAAUCCGGGGCUCAACCCCGGACUUGCAGUGGGUACGGGCAGACUAGAGUGUGGUAGGGGAGACUGGAAUUCCUGGUGUAGCGGUGAAAUGCGCAGAUAUCAGGAGGAACACCGGUGGCGAAGGCGGGUCUCUGGGCCGAUACUGACGCUGAGGAGCGAAAGCGUGGGGAGCAAACAGG